AACGAACGCUGGCGGCAGGCUUAACACAUGCAAGUCGAGCGCCUCGCAAGGGGAGCGGCAGACGGGUGAGUAACGCGUGGGAACAUGCCCAAAGGUACGGAACAACUCCGGGAAACUGGAGCUAAUACCGUAUGUGACCGAGAGGUGAAAGAUUUGUCGCCUUUGGAUUGGCCCGCGUUGGAUUAGCUAGUUGGUGGGGUAAAGGCCUACCAAGGCGACGAUCCAUAGCUGGUCUGAGAGGAUGAUCAGCCACACUGGGACUGAGACACGGCCCAGACUCCUACGGGAGGCAGCAGUGGGGAAUAUUGGACAAUGGGCGCAAGCCUGAUCCAGCCAUGCCGCGUGAGUGAUGAAGGCCUUAGGGUUGUAAAGCUCUUUCGCCAGGGACGAUAAUGACGGUACCUGGAUAAGAAGCCCCGGCUAACUUCGUGCCAGCCGCCGCGGUAAAAC
rnacentral:rRNA from 1 species